rnacentral:rRNA from 1 species
AACGCUGGCGGCGCGCUUAAUACAUGCAAGUCGAGCGACGAAAGGGCCUUCGGGCCCCUGAAAGCGGCGAACGGGUGAGUAACACGUGGGUAACCCACCCUCGGUUUCGGGAUAGCCCGGGGAAACUCGGAUUAAUACCGAAUGGCCUCCAGGGUCUCCUGGUCCUGGAGAAAAGGUAGCUUCGGCCUCCGACCGAGGACGGGCCCGCGGCCGAUUAGCUUGUUGGCGGGGUAACGGCCCACCAAGGCGA